rnacentral:rRNA from 1 species
AACAGCUCAAAUUUGAAAUCUGGCCCCUAGGGUCCGAGUUGUAAUUUGUAGAGGAUGCUUUUGGUGAGGUGCCGCCCGAGUUCCCUGGAACGGGACGCCGCAGAGGGUGAGAGCCCCGUCUGGCUGGCCACCGAGCCUCUGUAAAGCUCCUUCGACGAGUCGAGUAGUUUGGGAAUGCUGCUCAAAAUGGGAGGUAUAUGUCUUCUAAAGCUAAAUAUUGGCCAGAGACCGAUAGCGCACAAGUAGAGUGAUCGAAAGAUGAAAAGCACCUUGAAAAGAGGGUUAAACAGUACGUGAAAUUGUUGAAAGGGAAGCGCUUGUGACCAGACUUGGGCGCGGCGAAUCAUCCGGGGUUCUCUCCGGUGCACUUCGCCGUGUUCAGGCCAGCAUCAGUUCGGCGCGGGGGAAAAAGGCUUCGGGAACGUGGCUGCUCCGGCAGUGUUAUAGCCCGUUGCAUAAUACCCUGCGCUGGACUGAGGACCGCGCAUCUGCAAGGAUGCUGGCGUAAUGGUCACCAGCGACCCGUCUUGAAACACGGACCAAGGAGUCGUCUUCGUAUGCGAGUGUUCGGGUGUCAAACCCCUACGCGUAAUGAAAGUGAACGCAGGUGAGAGCUUCGGCGCAUCAUCGACCGAUCCUGAUGUUCUCGGAUGGAUUUGAGUAAGAGCAUACGGGGCCGGACCCGAAAGAAGGUGAACUAUGCCUGUAUAGGGUGAAGCCAGAGGAAACUCUGGUGGAGGCUCGCAGCGGUUCUGACGUGCAAAUCGAUCGUCAAAUAUGGGCAUGGGGGCGAAAGACUAAUC